rnacentral:rRNA from 1 species
AUGUACAUGCCUACAAUGUUAAUGUCACGGAUCCCAUUAGAAAUUUGCAGUUAAGCACACUUAGGCUAGAGUAGUAUUGGGAUGGGUGACCUCCCAAUAAGUCCUAGUGUUUUACACG